rnacentral:tRNA from 1 species
AAAGAAUUAGUUAAAAAAUAACAUUAGAAUGUCAAACUAAAAUUAUUAAAUAAAUAAUAUUCUUUA